rnacentral:rRNA from 1 species
CCCUUAGAUGUUCUGGGCCGCACGCGCGCUACACUGAUGCAUUCAACGAGCCUAUCCUUGACCGACAGGUCCGGGUAAUCUUUGAAUCUGCAUCGUGACGGGGAUAGAUUAUUGCAAUUAUUAAUCUUCAACGAGGAAUGCCUAGUAGGCGCAAGUCAUCAACUUGCGUCGAUUACGUCCCUGCCCUUUGUACACACCGCCCGUCGCUCCUACCGAUUGGGUGUGCUGGUGAAAUGUUCGGAUCGGCCGUUUGUCGCGGUUUCCGCGUCAUGUGGCUGAGAAGUUCAUUAAACCCUCCCACCGAGAGGAAGGAGAAGUCGUAACA